GGCUCAGGAUGAACGCUGGCGGCGUGCUUAACACAUGCAAGUCGAACGAACCUUCGGGUUAGUGGCGGACGGGUGAGUAACGCGUGGGAAUCUGCCCUCAGGAGGGGGAUAACGGUUGGAAACGACCGCUAAUACCCCAUAUGCCGAGAGGUGAAAUGAAUUUCGCCUGAGGAUGAGCCCGCGUCUGAUUAGCUUGUUGGUGAGGUAAUGGCUCACCAAGGCAUCGAUCAGUAGCUGGUCUGAGAGGAUGAUCAGCCACACUGGGACUGAGACACGGCCCAGACUCCUACGGGAGGCAGCAGUGGGGAAUUUUCCGCAAUGGGCGAAAGCCUGACGGAGCAACGCCGCGUGAGGGACGAAGGCCUCUGGGCUGUAAACCUCUUUUCUCAAGGAAGAAGAUAUGACGGUACUUGAGGAAUAAGCCACGGCUAAUUCCGUGCCAGCAGCCGCGGUAAUACGGGAGUGGCAAGCGUUAUCCGGAAUUAUUGGGCGUAAAGCGUCCGCAGGCGGCCCUUCAAGUCUGCUGUUAAAGCGUGGAGCUUAACUCCAUCAUGGCAGUGGAAACUGAUUGGCUUGAGUAUGGUAGGGGCAGAGGGAAUUCCCGGUGUAGCGGUGAAAUGCGUAGAUAUCGGGAAGAACACCAGUGGCGAAGGCGCUCUGCUGGGCCAUUACUGACGCUCAUGGACGAAAGCCAGGGGAGCGAAAGGGAUUAGAUACCCCUGUAGUCCUGGCCGUAAACGAUGAACACUAGGUGUCGGGGGAAUCGACCCCUUCGGUGUCGUAGCUAACGCGUUAAGUGUUCCGCCUGGGGAGUACGCACGCAAGUGUGAAACUCAAAGGAAUUGACGGGGGCCCGCACAAGCGGUGGAGUAUGUGGUUUAAUUCGAUGCAACGCGAAGAACCUUACCAGGGCUUGACAUCCUGCGAACCUUUAAGAAAUUAGAGGGUGCCUUCGGGAACGCAGUGACAGGUGGUGCAUGGCUGUCGUCAGCUCGUGUCGUGAGAUGUUGGGUUAAGUCCCGCAACGAGCGCAACCCACGUUUUUAGUUGCCAGCAUUUAGUUGGGCACUCUAGAAAGACCGCCGGUGAUAAACCGGAGGAAGGUGUGGAUGACGUCAAGUCAUCAUGCCCCUUACGUCCUGGGCUACACACGUACUACAAUGCUACGGACAAAGGGCAGCAAACUCGCGAGAGCUAGCAAAUCCCAUAAACCGUGGCUCAGUUCAGAUCGUAGGCUGCAACUCGCCUACGUGAAGUAGGAAUCGCUAGUAAUCGCAGGUCAGCAUACUGCGGUGAAUACGUUCCCGGGCCUUGUACACACCGCCCGUCACACCAUGGAAGUUGGCCACGCCCGAAGUCGUUACUUUAACCCUUGUGGAGAAGGACGCCGAAGGUGGGGCUGAUGACUGGGGUGAAGUCGUAACAAGGUAGCCGUACCGGAAGGUGCGGCUGGAUCACCUCCUAA
rnacentral:rRNA from 1 species